AGAUUAAUCUUUUGUAUUCAUUUUAUAGGUUCUGGAUGAAAUUCACCAGCAAUCUGUUGUCUUAUCGUCUCGGCCUUCUGUGUCUUCCAUUGGAUCUGUUCCUGCACCAAUUGAAGUUGUGGAAUCCCUGCCUUUGAAGCUAUUCAAUAAAUCGAAAAAGCAUCUAAGUGAAGAAGAUGCACAAUGUUACAUAUGCCUUGUUGAGUACGAGGAAGGAGAUACUGUGCGGACACUGCCUUGCCACCAUGAAUUUCAUAGAACAUGUAUUGAUAAAUGGCUCAAGGAAAUUCACAGGGUAUGCCCACUUUGUAGACGGGACAUAUGCAGACCUAAUCCAUUGAUCAGUGGAAUCGACGCCUAAUUAUAGCAGUCUUGACAUGGUUGCUAAAGUGGACUGCACUGCACUGUAUUAAAGAAUAGAAAGAAAGGAAUUUGUACCGAAUAUGCUAUUUAUUUUUUGGCGAUUGACAGCAUUCUUGGCAAGUAAAAUGGUCCUAUCUUAGUUACGAUGAAACUAAUGCAAGUAAGUACAAUGUCUUUGAGAAUUUCAGUUCUGUUGUUGGUUUGAUGUUGACUUCUUUUA